rnacentral:lncRNA from 1 species
AGAAGAGGUUGUACUUCUUUUUCAUUUCAUAUGGUGCAAAAUCACGCAUGCCUACAGCAAUGCUGCUUCAAGGACGGCUACGAGAAUAAAUCUUUACAGUUCUUCCGUGGUCAGAGUCACAUGCAUCAGCUGGGUGUACAGCUCGUUGAAAUUUAAAACCACUGUCAGACAGCAAAAUUGAGAUUCUGAAUAGGUGUCUGCUGCUUCAAGUCUAGGGUCAUGCACUUUCAAGGGCAUCAUGAGGUGAGGACACAAUAAAUGAACAUCCUUUAAUGGUCAGAAUCACAUGCAUUAGCAGCAAUCAUACUAGAAACAACUUAAAAGAAAAACUGUUUGGUGUUUCCCUUUUUGGGGUCAAUUUAUUAUCUGUCUGGGUUUGACUCUUUUUUAUAUAUAAUGUAAAGAUAUCCUGCUUCCUGUUUUAAAAAAAUAAAGGAAAAAAGAAGAGAAACUGUUGUUGACACGAACAUAGGAAAUAUUGCUAUCAUGCUGAAUAAAGGAAGAUUGGUACCUUACUAUCUGAUUGACCAAUGGCCAAUCUUCCCUCAGUGCGUAGGGUAAGACCUUUAUUUUCUAUUCACCAGGACUGUUCAAACUUCACGUUUUUCAACUGCAGGUAUCGAAUCUUGAAUUGCUUGAGCGAAUGUAGCAAUCUUGUAGGUAAAAAAUCCAACAAGCAUUGGUAUCAACUCCAGGUGCAUGAAGCCAUAGUCUGGAACUAAUAUCCUGAACCAGAAUAGAAAGAACAUACAUAAUUAUAGAAAACACUUCCUUUCCCAUAAUCUGAAUCAAUAAUAAAAUUUACUGAGAAUUUUAUCUGCUUACCCAUUCCAUCUGUUAUACAUCAUCACAAGUACCACUGGAAUAAGCAAUCUUGGUUGUGCAGCAGCACUCCUGCAUGCAUGCCAAACAAAUUGAAGGGUUGACUCUAUCACAAAUAUGAUUUAGAAGCUGCAUAGCAUUUAGUGUAGAUCUGCAGCAUCCUCUUGUACAUAUGCAGGAUAAAGAAUACAGCAGCCAUAAUGUGAUAAACAAAUAAUCAUUUUACAAGGGAAUUGACUUCAGAUGGAUAUUCAGAUGAUGAGAACCAUCAGUUUUUUUUUUCACGAUCUUUGGUUAAACCCUACAAGAUGACAUAUUUCUAACUUAAAAGCAUCGCAUUCUGUUUUGUCUGCAUGAAAAUAAGCUGCUGAAACCUUAUGGAUCAAGCAAAAACAGGUCCUUGAUUCAUCAACCAAAAUGUGGUGUGUUGGGUCACAACUAGAAGGUAUUAUCUGGACUGCAUCUCCAGGAUCUAUCUCGAGAUUGAAGCAUAGAUCUACAAAAGAUCUCAAAUGAAAAAAGAUCUUUUGCUUGUAUGUUCAUUUAACUGUCCAAGGUUAUCGAAUACAUUAGUUCUAUCUGAAGAAGUUGAACAUGAAUAACCUUCAACUUUGAAAAAGGAACGGAAGACCUGUAGAAUGGUAUCAGAAAGUACAUUUAGCAUAGAGUAGCAGCCACAAACUAAACCUAAUUCAGAGUAAAUUUUAUUUGAGCACCUAUCUGCAGAACCAAUUGGUGAAAUAAGUAAACUAAACCUAAGUUUGAGUAAAUUUUAUCUGAGCACCUGUCUGCAAACACAAUUUGUGAAAUAAGUAGACUAAACCUAAGUCUGAGUAGAAUUUAUUCGAGCACCUAUCUGCAAACACAAUUUGUGAAAUAAGUAAAUAACAAAAGAGAACAUACUUGACAGUUUCUCCAGUCCCACCAGCUAGGGAAUCUACGCUGGUUCCAAGCAUGCGGAGGUACACCAAUGAUCCAAUCAACCCUGCACCAAAGCUGAAGAGUAACUGCUGUCAGUUGAAGCAAAUGAUAAAAUCAAUCCUAGACUGGAAGUGGUAAAGCAAAAAAAGCCACUUUCCGACUUUAUCUCUACAUAAGCAAGAAAGUUAAAAAACUAAUACCUAACAGCAAUUUCAGGAGAGUAUGAAACAUAAGCAGAGACUACACCAACACCACCAAUGCCUAAAGUGAGCAGCUGCAAUCUUUGUUUCAACUGCGAAACAUCAAAAUUAUCAGUAAAAAAGACCAAUAGAUAAUCUAUGCAUAUUUCAAGAUCUCAUAAUACCAAUAUGAGCUAUAAAAGAUUUGCACAUGCAACUCCCUAAUGUAGAUCAUGUGGAGGAAAAUGACUUAAGGAUAUAUACCUUUAGGUAGUCCUCUCUGGCCCUAGCUGCCAAUUCCUUAGGGUCCCCUUGCUGCACUCUUGACUUGGACUCCCUUAGUAUAACAUCCUAAAUUGGGCCAAAAGAACGAAUACCAAUACUUAUGAAAGAAGUAAACAAAAUAAUACCAUAGCAACUAAUAGUUGUAAGUCGUUACAUCACGCAUCCUGAAGGAUCUAGAGCAACCAACAAAUCAGUUCAGGGAUUGUAGCGACUUACGCUGCCACCAGUAGCUGCCUUGGCUGCUCUGUCCCACUUAGCCUGCUCCCGGCGAGUCGGGACUAGCCUCCAUCUUGCAGAGGUGGCACCAUUCACAGCCUACCAGAUUCCACAAACUUAACUUAUCACUAUCCCCAGUAGACAAAAGGAGGUUCACAACUAAAGGAAUUGAUUCAAGCAAAGUGAAAUCUCACCUCAGCACCAAUGGCCCGGCCUCUCCUGGCAGCCUCAACCUGCGUUUGAAGGAUUGGCCUGGUCGGCGCUUGAAGCUCCUUGCUCAGGUCAACCUCCACACUACAAAACAUACUCCUCGAUCAUUCAUCCUUGCAGAACAAUUGUCGAACACCAAAGGAUGGGGACAGAGAAUUGAUUGAUAACCAGGCAAGUCCAGAUAAGACAAGAACCUGUCAAGGCUCAUGGCACGGUUGAUGCUCAGAAAUCCUGACUCCUCCUCGUCCACCUGCUCAACCGAAUUACUUUUUAGAAGCCUAAUAUCUGAGCUCGAGCUCGAGCUCGAUAAAAUAAAUUGAAACAAAUGAGACCACGCAGGCCGGUCUAGUCGCUGAAUGGAACUGCAAUUAGCCACAAACAAACUAUAGUCUAUGGGCGCGAGGGGGAUGACGCGGGGUACACACCGGGGAACGGCGGGUGAUUGUGGGUUCCGCGGCAGCGCCGCCGUUGGCGAUGACGCGCUCCAUGUGGGGGAGGAAGUCCUUGUUCCAGAUGAAGUCGUCGGUGUUGCCCACGGGGUCGCGGUCCUCCUUCCCCCACCAGUACUUGCGCGGCUUGAUGGUGGCCGGCCCGCCGCCGUACUCCCCGGGCUCCAUUCCCGUCGACCACUUCUGCGGCUUCUUCUUCGGCAGGAUCACCUUCACAGGCCUCCGCCCCGCGGCCUCCGACGCUGCCGCCUCGCCCGAGGCCGCCGAGGCGCGCGGCGGCCGCACCGCCGCGGCGCGGGUGGAGGAGGCGACGGCGAGCAGCGGCAUGGCCGGGGGGAGGGGCUCGCAGGAAAAUAUCUCGGCGGGGGAACGGGGGAGAGCGGAGUGGGGUGGAAGCGGGCAAGCGGCAGAGCGGAGCGGACCAGUGGCAGCCGAGAGAGUGAUCCUGAACGCGGACGGGUGAACGGGAGACUGGCGUCGUGGCGUUGGCGGGCGCUGUGGGGGUGGGGCCGCGUCCUCGGGUAUUUCCCCUUUUCAUAUUCGCCCCUCGUUUUUUUUUAAACGCAUUCGCCCCAAGUGAAUUCUUCCUUCGUGUUGUUUAUGUGGCGAAUGAAGGAUCUCAUGCGUAUUGGUGCCUAGAGAUGGAGGACCUCCCCCGCACAUACAAAAUGGUUUGUUUUUUAGAUAUAAAAAGAGAGUUGAAGUUUCGCUUGGAACACGAGAUUUCCCGUCAAUUUCGUACAAGUGAUCUGCAGAAACGCAGUUCAAUUCCAACAGGAAGAAGAGAUUUUUCUGGUCUGGUUUUAGAAUGUGCAAGCCUCGCUUAGAAUAUAGAAAUUUCCAUCGAUCCCAUAUCGGUAAUUUACAUGACGGAACUCUAUUCAAUCUCAAAGAACUCGACACCAACAGAUAUAUAUGAAUGUAAAGAGAUAGUCUCACACCAACAUAUGCAUGAAUGAAACAGAUAAAAACAAUAAUGAGUUUGGCUUCUCUUUUACCCGUGAGUCACUUUGCAUUUCGAAAAUAUUCCUUCUCAACUACUACAUUUCUAGGAUAUACCAUACAUAAAGGUCAUUGGGGUAACGUGUAUAAAUUGAAUUCCUCUACGCAGUCAGGUUUCUCACGCCUUCAUGUAGUCACACUUCUCACACCUCAUCUUCUUAACUUCGGGAUUUCACCUUUGUGCCAGAUCCAGCUUCCAGCUUUGCGUCAUCACCCUCGCGCUAUGUAAAACCUCCAACUUCGUGGUGCUUGGUCUGUUCGUGGUACUUCAAGAGCUUGUAACCUUACGACGUCUUCACUUAGGUUCCAUCCCUGAGUAAAGAGAAGAAAAGGUGAUAGUUUGGUGCUCUAAACUAGCUCGGAGCGCUCAAGAGUUAGCUCAAUUGGAGUUCGGUCAUCAGCCAAUAAUUGUCAGCUUUGAAUCCCCAAAGUAACAAGGAAUAUGCGAGGGUACAAGUUUUAUUACCAGAAUAGCCUCCAUAAGAAGUUGCGAGGUUAACCGAUUUUUGUUUCUUGGUCCAGAAGUUGCGAGGUUAGAGGGUUUCUGACUACGACCGACGCUCGAGGUUGCUUAGUUUUUGGGUGAUCCCCAACAAUAGCCUCUCGUGGGCGAGGAUCAACUCCGACAAUCCGAACCCACGACAAAGGAUCGCUCUAUCAAAAAAUAUCACACUCGAGCGUCGGAGGAGAUAUGAGCCAACGGUUACUUUUUGCUUUUGACGUGUCGAUUUCUGAUUGGUUGACGCUUCGGCUUCGGUUCAAGUUUCGAGGCAUUUCGCGCCCGUAAGCGUGCUUAUAAAAGGUGGGGGGUGUGAGUCGCUUGGGAUUACCCUCGCGUCUUGUUGUGAGUUUGCGCGCUGUUUGUUGGUGCUUUAAGAUUCGUGCUUCCUCUGCUGUUGUUGUUGAUCUUGUAGCUUCGAAGGUAUUGUCCUUAUCCGUAUUUUUCAUUCUUGCUUACCUCUCGCUGUAUUGUUAGGUUUUAAUUUACUGUUUAUGUGUUGUUUUAGCUGGCUCAGAUUAUGCAAAUGGCGAGGUUGAUGACUUCCGAAGAACAAGUAGAACAAAUGAGGCUUCGUGGUGGCGCUGCCGAAGGACAAGAGGCUCACGAGGCUGGCGAGGUUUUGGUUUCUUGCAUUAGUGAAAGCGGAGAAGAUCUUUCUAACAUCGAGGCCAACCCUUCAGAGCUAAUGGGUGGCAAGGAUGAUUUCCCUCCAACCCUGCGCUUUGGGCGGUCUUUGGUUUCAAAGAACACGAUCGACUUCUACGUUAGCAAA